GGUUCUUUAGCUUAGUUGGUUAAAGUCCCCCGCUCAUAACCGUUCGGUCGCUGGUUCGAAUCCAGCAAGAACCA
rnacentral:tRNA from 1 species